rnacentral:rRNA from 1 species
GACGUAGGGGGCCAGCGUUGCUCGGAAUUACUGGGCGUAAAGCGCGCGUAGGCGGCUUUGCAAGUCGGGUGUGAAAUCCCCAGGCUUAACCUGGGAACUGCAUUCGAGACUGCAUUGCUAGAGUAUGGGAGAGGGAAGUGGAAUUUCCGGUGUAGCGGUGAAAUGCGUAGAUAUCGGAAGGAACAUCAGUGGCGAAAGCGACUUCCUGGACCAAUACUGACGCUCAUGUGCGAAAGCGUGGGGAGCAAACGGG